AGGCGACGAUCGGUAGCUGGUCUGAGAGGAUGAUCAGCCACAUUGGGACUGAGACACGGCCCAAACUCCUACGGGAGGCAGCAGUGGGGAAUAUUGGACAAUGGGCGCAAGCCUGAUCCAGCCAUGCCGCGUGAGUGAUGACGGCCUUAGGGUUGUAAAGCUCUUUCGUCAGGGACGAUAAUGACGGUACCUGAAGAAGAAGCCCCGGCUAACUUCGUGCCAGCAGCCGCGGUAAUACGAAGGGGGCUAGCGUUGUUCGGAAUUACUGGGCGUAAAGCGCGUGUAGGCGGGUCUUUAAGUCAGGGGUGAAAUGCCAGGGCUCAACCUUGGAACUGCCUUUGAUACUGGAGAUCUUGAGUCCGGGAGAGGUGAGUGGAACUGCGAGUGUAGAGGUGAAAUUCGUAGAUAUUCGCAAGAACACCAGUGGCGAAGGCGGCUCACUGGCCCGGUACUGACGCUGAGAUGCGAAAGCGUGGGGAGCAAACAGGAUUAGAUACCCUGGUAGUCCACGCUGUAAACGAUGGAUGCUAGCCGUUAGGCAGCUUGCUGCUUAGUGGCGCAGUUAACACUUUAAGCAUCCCGCCUGGGGAGUACGGUCGCAAGAUUAAAACUCAAAGGAAUGACGGAA
rnacentral:rRNA from 1 species